UCCGUAGGCGGUGUGGUAAGUCGAUAGUGAAAUCUCUGGGCUUAACCCAGAGGCUGCUAACGAAACUGCCAUGCUAGAGUGUGAGAGAGGCGAGUGGAAUUACGGGUGUAGCGGUGAAAUGCGUAGAUAUCCGUAGGAACAUCCGAGGCGAAGGCGGCUCGCUGGAUCACAACUGACGCUGAGGGACGAAAGCUAGGGGAGCAAACAGGAUUAAAUACCCUGGUAGUCCUAGCCCUAAACCAUCAGGACUUGGGGUUUGCCCUGUACGGGGCAAGUCCCGUAGCUAACGCGUUAAGUCCUGCGCCUGGGGAGUACGGUCGCAAGGCUGAA
rnacentral:rRNA from 1 species